ensembl:lncRNA
UUUGAAGGGGUGCAACACUAGUCUCCAUAAGGCCGACGCUACUGCGUUGCUUCCACCGCAUCUCUGAAGUUUAAUGGCUGUGAAUAUGGUUAUCACCGGCUUUUUAGAGGGCAUUAUAUUAGUGUGACCGUCGGCUGGGAAGACUGUAGCGCGUGGGGAACACUGAGGAGAAGCGCACACAAGCUGAUUCUUCAAGGCCAGCAUGCAGCCGUUGGAAGCAUUUCCGUUGGUGGUUGGGAAGAUCCCCUGGAGACGAGCAUGGAAACCUACUCCAGUAUUCUUGUCUGGAGAAUCCCAUGGACAGAG